CCCCAGAGAAUCACAAAGAGUUGUCCCAGAGAUUUCCAGCCACAGUCAGCAUGUGUACAGAACGCCAGUGAAAAUGGAUGUGUCUUCCUGGCCCUGCUGAUUUGCUCCAUAACUAGACCUGAGAGUCAUCUUUUUUUUUCCCCUAUUCACUCAUAGGUUGAAACCAAGCCCAACCAUCCACUAGUUAUGUGAGAUCUCUGAGUUUUCUUUUCUCUACCACAGGGGUAAACAGAGUCGGAAGCAUGAGACAAUCUACUGGAGGCAGAGUCCCACGGUAGCCAACUGCAUGUGUCUGCUUGGCUAGGUCACAGGGUGACCAGAGAUGUGGUGCAGCAUCACUUUGGCUGUGUGUUAUGGAGACCCUGGAGCAGUUCAUGUCUGACGUAGGGAGAAAAGCAAGCCACACUUUCCAAUGACAGUGGACUCAAGCUCUAACGGAUCAAAAACCCAGGAAAGCUCUCUCUCUCUCUCUCUCUCUCUCUCUCUCUCUCUCUCUCUCUCUCUC
rnacentral:lncRNA from 1 species